rnacentral:rRNA from 1 species
UACGGAGGGGGCUAGCGUUGUUCGGAAUUACUGGGCGUAAAGCGCACGUAGGCGGCUUUGUAAGUUAGAGGUGAAAGCCCGGGGCUCAACUCCGGAACUGCCUUUAAAACUGCAUCGCUUGAAUCAUGGAGAGGUCAGUGGAAUUCCGAGUGUAGAGGUGAAAUUCGUAGAUAUUCGGAAGAACACCAGUGGCGAAGGCGACUGACUGGACAUGUAUUGACGCUGAGGUGCGAAGCGUGGGGAGCAAACAGG